CCUACGGGGGGCUGCAGUGAGGAAUAUUGGUCAAUGGACGCAAGUCUGAACCAGCCAUGCCGCGUGCAGGAAGACGGCUCUAUGAGUUGUAAACUGCUUUUGUACGAGGGUAAACGCAGAUACGCGUAUCUGUCUGAAAGUAUCGUACGAAUAAGGAUCGGCCAACUCCGUGCCAGCAGCCGCGGUAAUACGGAGGAUUCAAGCGUUAUCCGGAUUUAGUGGGUUUAAAGGGUGCGUAGGCGGUCGGAUAAGUUAGAGGUGAAAUCCCGAGGCUCAACUUCGGAAUUGCCUGUGAUACUGGUCGGCUAGAGAGUAGGUGCGGUAGGCGGAAUGUAUGGUGUAGCGGUGAAAUGCUUAGAGAUCAUACAGAACCCCGAUUGCGAAGGCAGCUUACCAAGCUACUUCUGACGUUGAGGCACGAAAGCGUGGGGAGCAAACAGGAUUAGAUACCCUGGUAGUC
rnacentral:rRNA from 1 species